AAAGAAUAGUAUUGACCGGAAGGACAGAAAGACUAUUAUAAUCAGACUACAUGGUUUACCCAAAAUUUGGACUACAUCCACCGGGAGAACAAGAGAUCUGCUAUUAUAAUCAGAGAAGAAAUAAAGGACUACAAGAACUCAAUCAUCUAAUCGUUUACGCUGUGCAAGGCUUCAAUAACCGAUCCCCCAAAAAAAUUACAACAUCGGAAACUGACAUCAAAGAUUACAGGGCAACAAGAAGGAUCUUUUCCCCUGAUGUGUCAUGGAUGCCAAACUUUAGUUGUGCCUCACAACAUCACAUGGAAGUGGCUGCAGGUAUUCCUUGCAUCAGCUCAACAUUACAAAGAAGGGAGAGCUAGCCAAAAUUUCUCAAAUACAUAGCCACCAUUAAGGAUAUAAACAGAAAAGCAAAGAAGAAGCAGAACCAUCUGAUCUCUUUUUGUGUUACAUUCCUAGCCUACCUUUCCUCCCUGGACAGCAACGGAGACCGUCUCCCAGAAAGAAAGAAAGAAAACAAGAAGCGGAUCAGGGGUAGUCUCGCCAGCAGAUGAGCAUGGUGACGCAGCGGCGCAUGAUGUAGAACCUGGCUCUCUGCUCCUUCACCAACCUCGCGCACCGGCUCGACACGGAGCGCCACGUCCUCCUUCCCUCCCUCUCGCUCGCCGACCCCAUAAACAGAGGCCUACUGCCCUCUCCCACCGCCCCCCUCCUGCUCCCCUUCUUCGAGAGCUUCCACUUCUCAUCCACGUAAACCUCUAUCCUAACCUUUCUUCUCUUCUCCCAUCUAGCUUUUACGUAAUGGUGAUUUUAUGAGUGGAGUAAAUGUAGAGACAAAACAAGAAAGGGAAAACAAGGAAGAAAGAAAGAUAUCAAAACAAGAGAGAACAAGCGAGGACACGGCAGGGUGAGUUGGCUUUGUGAGGGUGAGGCGACUGUGGGGUGGUGGGAGGCUCUUAUGGAGAAAAUGGAGGUGGGGGCCCACCUCUCUUUUGUUUUUUUUUUCUAAAAGGAAAUCUACAUU
rnacentral:lncRNA from 1 species